rnacentral:tRNA from 1 species
GUCUCGGUAAUCAAAUUGGUAUGAUAUCCAUCCCGAAAGUCGGAAAUUCCAAGUUCGAAUCUUAGCCAAAAUA